rnacentral:rRNA from 1 species
UUGACCUCAAAUCAGGUAGGACUACCCGCUGAACUUAAGCAUAUCAAUAAGCGGAGGAAAGAAACUAACAAGGAUUCCCCUAGUAACUGCGAGUGAAGAGGGAAAAGCUCAAAUUUUGAAUCUGGCGGUCUUCUGGUCGUCCGAGUUGUAAUCUAGAGAAGCGUCUUCCGCGCUGGACCGUGUAUAAGUUUCCUGGAAUGGAACGUCGUAGAGGGUGAGAAUCCCGUCUUUGACACGGACUACCAGGGCUAUGUGAUGCGCUCUCGACGAGUCGAGUUGUUUGGGAAUGCAGCUCAAAUAGGGUGGUAAAUUCCAUCUAAAGCUAAAUAUAGGCGAGAGACCGAUAGCGAACAAGUACCGUGAGGGAAAGAUGAAAAGAACUUUGGAAAGAGAGUUAAACAGUACGUGAAAUUGCUGAAAGGGAAACGCUUGAUGUCAGUCGCGUCGGCCGGGGAUCAGCCUUGCUUAAUCGCUCGGCGUACUUCCUGGCAGACGGGUCAGCAUCAGUUUUGACCGUCGGAAAAUGGCUCGGGGAAUGUGGCACUCUUUCGGGAGUGUGUUAUAGACUCGAGUCGAAUGCGAUGGUUGGGACUGAGGAACUCAGCACGACCUUAGGGUUCGGGACUUCGGUCCACGUUUGCGUGCUUAGGAUGCUGGCAUAAUGGCCUUAAGCGACCCGUCUUGA